rnacentral:miRNA from 1 species
GGAGUCUGGAGCAAGCUGUGGCGGCCCAGCCCUCAGCUGUCCUCCUGUCUGUA